rnacentral:rRNA from 1 species
GACGAACGCUGGCGGCGUGCUUAACACAUGCAAGUCGAACGGAAAGGCCCUGCUUUUGUGGGGUGCUCGAGUGGCGAACGGGUGAGUAACACGUGAGUAACCUGCCCUUGACUUUGGGAUAACUUCAGGAAACUGGGGCUAAUACCGGAUAGGAGCUCCUGCUGCAUGGUGGGGGUUGGAAAGUUUCGGCGGUUGGGGAUGGACUCGCGGCUUAUCAGCUUGUUGGUGGGGUAGUGGCUUACCAAGGCUUUGACGGGUAGCCGGCCUGAGAGGGUGACCGGCCACAUUGGGACUGAGAUACGGCCCAGACUCAUAAGGGAGGCAGCAGUGGGGAAUAUUGCACAAUGGGCGGAAGCCUGAUGCAGCAACGCCGCGUGCGGGAUGAAGGCCUUCGGGUUGUAAACCGCUUUCGCCUGUGACGAAGCGUGAGUGACGGUAAUGGGUAAAGAAGCACCGGCUAACUACGUG